AGUGAACGCUGGCGGCAUGCCUAAUACAUGCAAGUCGAACGACCACACAGUAAGCGUUCUCCCCUAACGGUGGCGACGGACGGACGAGUAACACAUAGAUCGCCAACCUAUAAGACUUGGGUGACUUCGGGGGGCAGCAGCUGCUACCAGCUCAUAUGUCCUACCGCAUGAUUCAAUAGUUCUAGACACUUUUGCUGUCACUUAUAGAUGGAUCCGCGUCGGAUUAGCUAGUUGGUAAGGUAACGGCUUACCAAGGCAACGAUGCGUAGCCGACCUGAGAGGGUGAUCAGCCACACUGGAACUGAGACACGGUCCAGACUCCUACGGGAGGCAGCAGUAGGGAAUAUUCCGCAAUGGGCGAAAGCUUGACGGAGCAACACCGCGUGAGUGAUGAAGGUCUUCGGAUUGUAAAACUCUGUUAUUAGGGAAGAACAAAUGUGUAUGUAUCUCUGCAUGUCCUGACGGUACCUAAUGAGAAAGCCACGGCUAACUUCGUG
rnacentral:rRNA from 1 species